UGAGGAAUAUUGGUCAAUGGACGCAAGUCUGAACCAGCCACGUCGCGUGAAGGAAGACGGCCCUACGGGUUGUAAACUUCUUUUAUACGGGAAUAAAGUGCCCCACGUGUGGGGUUUUGCAUGUACCGUAUGAAUAAGGAUCGGCUAACUCCGUGCCAGCAGCCGCGGUAAUACGGAGGAUCCGAGCGUUAUCCGGAUUUAUUGGGUUUAAAGGGUGCUCAGGCGGGGGGUUAAGUCGGCGGUGAAAUUUUGCAGCUCAACUGUAAAAGUGCCUUCGAAACUGGUUCCCUUGAGUGCGGAUGAGGUAGGCGGAAUUUGUGGUGUAGCGGUGAAAUGCAUAGAUAUCACGAGGAACUCCGAUUGCGCAGGCAGCUUACCAAGCCGUAACUGACGCUCAAGCACGAAGCGUGGGGAUCAAACA
rnacentral:rRNA from 1 species